UACGAAGGGUGCAAGCGUUACUCGGAAUUACUGGGCGUAAAGCGUGCGUAGGUGGUUUGUUAAGUCUGUUGUGAAAGCCCCGGGCUCAACCUGGGAAUGGCAAUGGAUACUGGCAAGCUAGAGUGCGGUAGAGGGUAGUGGAAUUCCCGGUGUAGCGGUGAAAUGCGUAGAGAUCGGGAGGAACACCAGUGGCGAAGGCGGCUACCUGGCCUGUUUCUUGACGCUGAGGCGCGAAAGCUAGGGGAGCAAACGGG
rnacentral:rRNA from 1 species